rnacentral:rRNA from 1 species
AGAGUUUGAUCAUGGCUCAGAUUGAACGCUGGCGGCAGGCCUAACACAUGCAAGUCGAGCGGUAGCACAGAGAGCUUGCUCUCGGGUGACGAGCGGCGGACGGGUGAGUAAUGUCUGGGAAACUGCCUGAUGGAGGGGGAUAACUACUGGAAACGGUAGCUAAUACCGCAUAACGUCGCAAGACCAAAGUGGGGGACCUUCGGGCCUCAUGCCAUCAGAUGUGCCCAGAUGGGAUUAGCUAGUAGGUGGGGUAACGGCUCACCUAGGCGACGAUCCCUAGCUGGUCUGAGAGGAUGACCAGCCACACUGGAACUGAGACACGGUCCAGACUCCUACGGGAGGCAGCAGUGGGGAAUAUUGCACAAUGGGCGCAAGCCUGAUGCAGCCAUGCCGCGUGUGUGAAGAAGGCCUUCGGGUUGUAAAGCACUUUCAGCGGGGAGGAAGGCGAUAAGGUUAAUAACCUUGUCGAUUGACGUUACCCGCAGAAGAAGCACCGGCUAACUCCGUGCCAGCAGCCGCGGUAAUACGGAGGGUGCAAGCGUUAAUCGGAAUUACUGGGCGUAAAGCGCACGCAGGCGGCCUGUCAAGUCGGAUGUGAAAUCCCCGGGCUUAACCUGGGAACUGCAUUCGAAACUGGCAGGCUAGAGUCUUGUAGAGGGGGGUAGAAUUCCAGGUGUAGCGGUGAAAUGCGUAGAGAUCUGGAGGAAUACCGGUGGCGAAGGCGGCCCCCUGGACAAAGACUGACGCUCAGGUGCGAAAGCGUGGGGAGCAAACAGGAUUAGAUACCCUGGUAGUCCACGCCGUAAACGAUGUCGAUUUGGAGGUUGUGCCCUUGAGGCGUGGCUUCCGGAGCUAACGCGUUAAAUCGACCGCCUGGGGAGUACGGCCGCAAGGUUAAAACUCAAAUGAAUUGACGGGGGCCCGCACAAGCGGUGGAGCAUGUGGUUUAAUUCGAUGCAACGCGAAGAACCUUACCUGGUCUUGACAUCCACAGAACUUUCCAGAGAUGGAUUGGUGCCUUCGGGAACUGUGAGACAGGUGCUGCAUGGCUGUCGUCAGCUCGUGUUGUGAAAUGUUGGGUUAAGUCCCGCAACGAGCGCAACCCUUAUCCUUUGUUGCCAGCGGUUAGGCCGGGAACUCAAAGGAGACUGCCAGUGAUAAACUGGAGGAAGGUGGGGAUGACGUCAAGUCAUCAUGGCCCUUACGACCAGGGCUACACACGUGCUACAAUGGCAUAUACAAAGAGAAGCGACCUCGCGAGAGCAAGCGGACCUCAUAAAGUAUGUCGUAGUCCGGAUUGGAGUCUGCAACUCGACUCCAUGAAGUCGGAAUCGCUAGUAAUCGUAGAUCAGAAUGCUACGGUGAAUACGUUCCCGGGCCUUGUACACACCGCCCGUCACACCAUGGGAGUGGGUUGCAAAAGAAGUAGGUAGCUUAACCUUCGGGAGGGCGCUUACCACUUUGUGAUUCAUGACUGGGGUGAAGUCGUAACAAGGUAACCGUAGGGGAACCUGCGGUUGGAUCACCU